UACCUACCUUAUGACAUUUAUGAAAAACAAACAUUGUAUUAAGGGGUUUCUAUCAGUUAGUAACAAAGCCGGCAGUAUCCUUGAAUUCUGGGGUCAGCUACGGGAGGUAUGUCUCCAUGUGUGUGGAAGAAGCGUCUAUCAUUAUACGCUGUUUAUCCAAUCCAAAACGGAUUCGUUUAGUUGGUAGAACCCGCGCCAAUAUCGUAUUGACUCUCUCUCGUCCAAUAAGAGUUUCCGAGAGUUACUUUAUUCAAAUUCUCUCCUUUCCAAAGCUCCACAAGGAAAAAAGAGUAAUAGGAAAACUAUUAGCAUAGAGCUCACUCGAAAAGGAAGUGAUCGAGCGAUGACAACCAGGAGGUGGGCUUGGAAGCAACCAUCCUUUGAAGAAAGCGUAAUAGCUCACUGGUCUAGCUCCAUGGCACCGAAAAUGUCUCAGGGAUCAAGUGAUUCACCGAAGCAACUAGACCUUGAAAGCAGCUUUUUCAAGUGUCAAUAGCGGGACGUUCUGUCAAUCGGGGAAGGUUUUUGGUGACAAGACCUGGAGAUAUCAGAAGUGAGAAUGCUGACAUGAGUAACGAGAAAUCCUGUGAAAAACACGAUCGCCUGCCAGUGGAAGGCUUUCUGCAUUCAGUCAAUCUACGCAGAGUGAAUCAGUCCCUAAGGAACCCCCGAAAGGGUUGCCGUCCGAUGGGUACACGAAAGUGACGAAGUUGCUUUGACUACUGAACCAUGCCUGGAUCAUCGGAGCGAGUUGGCUGAUCGGGCUGAGGGCUGCCCCCUCUUCCCCUUGCUCUCCUUUCCUUAAUAUUCACCGUCGAGUCAUCAAAGCCGUCAACUAAUUCAGAGGGGCUCGGCUGGCCCGGUCGCCCUACGCUACUGGCGCUUCCAAAGACGAAGCUCUCGUCUUUGGCAACUAGCAAACGGAGGGCUAAAACCUGUAGUUUUGAAGCAAGGGAUGAGCACGAAAGCCGUUGCGCUUCCGUACAUGCGCAUAUGUUUUCUUGCUGGGGCAGACACGGAUUUCUCUCUAAAGGCGAAGAAAAAUAAGUGGGCAAACACUCGGCCCAGUGGGUGAACAUGCCGGCUCUGGCUCCGCGCACCUACUGACACCUUUCGAAGCACUUUCACGUGUGAACCGAAGUUGUCUUGCCGAACUCCUUCCUUUCUCAUUUCAGUCCUCGCCUUUUUCAUCUUCCGUAGGGGCCUUUAGUCUUUUGAUUAGAGUGGAGGUCGUGAGAGAGCAGAGCGUACCGCCUGCCAUAGUCGCGAGGAUCUUAAUAGUCAGUCGCGACUGUUGUCAUAGUCAACAACGGUUGAAACUUCCAGGAAAAAACUUCGAAUUGGGAGGGCGAUCCUCCCGGUGAACUGACCGUACCCCAAACUGACACAGGUGAACAAGUAGAGUAUACUAGGGCGCGUCGAGAGAACCAUGUCGAAGGAACUCGGCAAAAUGACCCCGUAACUUCGGGAGAAGGGGUGCUCUCCUAUCUUUUGAUUAGGAAAGCGGC
rnacentral:ncRNA from 1 species